rnacentral:lncRNA from 1 species
UUGUAGUUGGGGUAUAUGACUGUUUGAGACCCCUAGGAACUUGUAUGCAUGUUUUGGUUAAGAUUUAUGCAUGAUUUGAGGUUUUGGGAGGCAAGGGGUUCAGGUGAACCAAGUUUCUGCCCUUCUAGCAGAAACCAGGUUCGGCCGCCGAAGGGAGUUUCGGCCGCCGAACCCCCUUUGUGGAGGCAGCAUUCGGCUGCCGAAGUUGCCCCCGAAAAGAGACUUUCGUCUCUGUCUGGGACUUUCGGCCGCCGAAGGUUCCGCCGAAAGUGCCUGACUUUCGUCUCUGGAGGGACUUUCGGCCGUCGAAGGUGCCGCCGAAAGUGCC